GACGAACGCUGGCGGCGUGCUUAACACAUGCAAGUCGAACGGGCCCGCUCCCUUUUUUGGGGGUGGGUUGAGUGGCGAACGGGUGAGUAUCACGUGAGUAACCUGCCCCCUGCUCCUGGAUAACUGCUUGAAAGGGCGGCUAAUACGGGGUGUGCCGGCUGGUCCGCAUGGGCCUGGUCGGGAUAGUUUCAUCUUCGGGUGUUUCGGUGGGGGAUGGGCUCGCGGCCUAUCAGCUUGUUGGUGGGGUGAUGGCCCACCAAGGCGGUGACGGGUAGCCGGCCUGAGAGGGUGGGCGGCCACACUGGGACUGAGACAUGGCCCAGACUCCUGCGGGAGGCAGCAGUGGGGGGUAUUGCACAAUGGGCGGAAGCCUGAUGCAGCGACGUCGCGUGAGGGAUGGAGGCCUUCGGGUGGGGAACCUCUUUCUCCGGUGGUGAAGGCCCUGUCCGUUGCGGCGGGGUUGACGGUAGCCGGGUAUGAAGCGCCGGCUAACUACGUG
rnacentral:rRNA from 1 species